rnacentral:rRNA from 1 species
GAUGAACGCUGGCGGCGUGCCUAAUACAUGCAAGUCGAGCGAACAGACGAGGAGCUUGCUCCUCUGACGUUAGCGGCGGACGGGUGAGUAACACGUGGAUAACCUACCUAUAAGACUGGGAUAACUUCGGGAAACCGGAGCUAAUACCGGAUAAUAUAUUGAACCGCAUGGUUCAAUAGAGAAAGACGGUUUUGCUGUCACUUAUAGAUGGAUCCGCGCCGCAUUAGCUAGUUGGUAAGGUAACGGCCUACCAAGGCAACGAUGCGUAGCCGACCUGAGAGGUUGAUCGGCCACACUGGAACUGAGACACGGUCCAGACUCCUACGGGAGGCAGCAGUAGGGAAUCUUCCGCAAUGGGCGAAAGCCUGACGGAGCAACGCCGCGUGAGUGAUGAAGGUCUUCGGAUCGUAAAACUCUGUUAUUAGGGAAGAACAAAUGUGUAAGUAACUAUGCACGUCUUGACGGUACCUAAUCAGAAAGCCACGGCUAACUACGU